ACGCCAAUCGGCCAGUAUGAAUACGGCAUGAUCACGAUUUUUAACGGGCCUUCAAUGGCCACGUAGAGAGCAUUGCUGAAGAGCAACCGAUUUCACAUCAUUACAGUAUCACAAUGUUUACUUACAUGCCCUCCCACGAAGUUGGGUAAUUCAACAAAUAAAUAUGAAGAAGCGAGCCACAUUACGAUCCGUAUCAUCAGAUGCUGCGCCCCGAAAAAACCCAUCAACUAACGAAGCUCGAGCUCGCAGAGCGCCUCCUCACCAACGGAAAAGGUCGAUCGCGACCGUUUGUAGCAGCGACCUUGCUUACUCUGGAUUUGGGAUCAUUGGGAUUUCGGCGAAGAUGUUUGGGCUUCUUAUCAGUUACGUCAUUCUGAUCAUGCAGACCGGAGAGAAGAAGGGCCAUUCCGAGCAUUUCGAAUGUCACCUUAUGCCGUCAAAUCAAUACGUCAAUGCGUCUCCCGUACGUCAGUACAGCUUCAAUACGUCAUCAUUACUGACAAUAACCUGUACUCGUCAGUUUGACUGUGGCUUAAGACGCACUGCGACUAUUUUACUGUGUUGUGACUAUUAAUACUGACAGCAUUUUAAUGGGUUGAGUUGUUUGCAUGUUUCGUACUGUAUCUAAGAUUCUGUGGCGUGUCAGUUUUCACUCGCAAGCUAUUUAGUAUUUACUAACCUGUUUGUUUAAUAAGCUAACAUUGUUAAUGGGAUAGGAGGUUAUUUGAUUAAGAGAGCA